UACAGAGGGUGCGAGCGUUAAUCGGAAUCACUGGGCGUAAAGGGCGCGUAGGCGGUCUUUUAAGAUUGGUGUGAAAGCCCCGGGCUUAACCUGGGAACGGCACUAAUGACUGGGAGGCUGGAGUACUGUAGAGGGUAGUGGAAUUUCCGGUGUAGCAGUGAAAUGCGUAGAGAUCGGAAGGAACACCGGUGGCGAAGGCGGCUACCUGGACAGAGACUGACGCUGAGGCGCGAGAGCGUGGGGAGCAAACAGG
rnacentral:rRNA from 1 species